AGUCAGGAGUGAAAGGCUACGGCUCAACCGUAGUAAGCUCUUGAAACUGGGAGACUUGAGUGCAGGAGAGGAGAGUGGAAUUCCUAGUGUAGCGGUGAAAUGCGUAGAUAUUAGGAGGAACACCAGUGGCGAAGGCGGCUCUCUGGACUGUAACUGACGCUGAGGCACGAAAGCGUGGGGAGCAAACAGGAUUAGAUACCCUGGUAGUCCACGCUGUAAACGAUGAGUACUAGGUGUCGGGGGUUACCCCC
rnacentral:rRNA from 1 species